rnacentral:rRNA from 1 species
GACGAACGCUGGCGGCGUGCUUAACACAUGCAAGUCGAACGGAAAGGCCCUGCUUUUGUGGGGUGCUCGAGUGGCGAACGGGUGAGUAACACGUGAGUAACCUGCCCUUGACUUUGGGAUAACUUCAGGAAACUGGGGCUAAUACCGGAUAGGAGCUCCUGCUGCAUGGUGGGGGUUGGAAAGUUUCGGCGGUUGGGGAUGGACUCGCGGCUUAUCAGCUUGUUGGUGGGGUAGUGGCUUACCAAGGCUUUGACGGGUAGCCGGCCUGAGAGGGUGACCGGCCACAUUGGGACUGAGAGAGGGCCCAGACUCCUACGGGAGGCAGCAGUGGGGAAUAUUGCACAAUGGGCGGAAGCCUGAUGCAGCAACGCCGCGUGCGGGAUGACGGCCUUCGGGUUGUAAACCGCUUUCGCCUGUGACGAAGCGUGAGUGACGGUAAUGGGUAAAGAAGCACCGGCUAACUACGUG